rnacentral:rRNA from 1 species
UACAGAGGAGCCAAGCGUUGUCCGGAUUGACUGGGCGUAAAGCGCACGCAGGCGGGGGUGCGCGUGGGGUGUGAAAUCUGGCCGCUUAACGGCCAGGCGCCAUCCCAUACGGCACGCCUGGAGCCUUGCAGAGGUCGGUGGAAUUGCCGGUGUAGUGGUGAAAUGCGUAGAGAUCGGCAGGAACACCCAGGGGGAAACCAGCCGACUGGGCAAGUGCUGACGCUGAGGCGCGAAAGCUAGGGGAGCAAACGGG